AUUGAACGCUGGCGGCAUGCUUUACACAUGCAAGUCGAACGGUAACAGGCCGCAAGGUGCUGACGAGUGGCGAACGGGUGAGUAAUGCAUCGGAACGUGCCCAGUCGUGGGGGAUAACUACUCGAAAGAGUAGCUAAUACCGCAUACGAUCUAUGGAUGACAGCGGGGGACCGUAAGGCCUCGCGCGAUUGGAGCGGCCGAUGUCAGAUUAGGUAGUUGGUGGGGUAAAGGCUCACCAAGCCAACGAUCGGUAGCUGGUCUGAGAGGACGACCAGCCACACUGGGACUGAGACACGGCCCAGACUCCUACGGGAGGCAGCAGUGGGGAAUUUUGGACAAUGGGCGCAAGCCUGAUCCAGCAAUGCCGCGUGCAGGAAGAAGGCCUUCGGGUUGUAAGCUGCUUUUGUACGGAACGAAACGGCUCUGGUUAAUACCCGGGGCUAAUGACGGUACCGUAAGAAUAAGCACCGGCUAACUACGUG
rnacentral:rRNA from 1 species